rnacentral:lncRNA from 10 species
GCAUUUUGGAGGAACAGAAUGCAAUAACUAAGUGUGCUUGGAGAAGAUAGAAAAUACUUUUUUAGGAGAAAAUGCCAUGUGAAUUGACCUAUAAAGAUAAAUUUACUGGAUAGAAAAAACAGGAGAGUGGUGCUGUUACUUUCAAUGGCAAAAACCACAGUUACUUUUGCACCAACCUAGCUUAUAAACCUUGUAUUAAGUUCCUUAGAGAAAUAGUCACUUAAACAGGCAUAAAGGUGGGGAGUUUCAGUGGGCUAAUCACAUUAAGUUACAUGACUUUAGAUAAAUUAUUUUACCUCUCUAUACUUCAAGUUUCAUGACAAUUUAAGGGAAUUGGAUUAAGAUUCUCUUAAGCUCUAAUAGUCUAUAUUUGAAUUAUUUAUUUUGGAAA